rnacentral:snRNA from 1 species
GUGCUCACUUCGUCAGCACAUAUACUAAAAUUGGAACGAUACAGAGAUUAGCGUGGCCCCUGCGCAAGGAUGACAUAAAAAAAUAAAAAAUAAAAACAAAAUAG